GACGAACGCUGGCGGCGUGCUUAACACAUGCAAGUCGAACGGAAAGGCUCCAGCUUGCUGGAGUGCUCGAGUGGCGAACGGGUGAGUAACACGUGGGCAAUCUGCCCUGCACUCUGGGAUAAGCCUGGGAAACUGGGUCUAAUACCGGAUAGGACCUUUCUCCUCAUGGGGUUUGGUGGAAAGUUUUUCGGUGCAGGAUGAGCCCGCGGCCUAUCAGCUUGUUGGUGGGGUAAUGGCCUACCAAGGCGACGACGGGUAGCCGGCCUGAGAGGGUGAUCGGCCACAUUGGGACUGACAUACGGCCCAGACUCCUACGGGAGGCAGCAGUGGGGAAUAUUGCACAAUGGGCGAAAGCCUGAUGCAGCGACGCCGCGUGAGGGAUGACGGCCUUCGGGUUGUAAACCUCUUUCAGUAGGGACGAAGCGCAAGUGACGGUACCUGCAGAAGAAGCACCGGCUAACUACGUG
rnacentral:rRNA from 1 species